AACGCGAAGAACCUUACCUGGGUUUGACAUGCACUAGACGCCGGCAGAGAUGUCGGUUCCCUUGUGGCUGGUGUGCAGGUGGUGCAUGGCUGUCGUCAGCUCGUGUCGUGAGAUGUUGGGUUAAGUCCCGCAACGAGCGCAACCCUCGUUCCAUGUUGCCAGCGGGUUAUGCCGGGGACUCAUGGGAGACUGCCGGGGUCAACUCGGAGGAAGGUGGGGAUGACGUCAAGUCAUCAUGCCCCUUAUGUCCAGGGCUUCACACAUGCUACAAUGGCCUAUACAGAGGGCUGCGAGACCGCGAGGUGGAGCGAAUCCCUUAAAGUGGGUCUCAGUUCGGAUCGGGGUCUGCAACUCGACCCCGUGAAGUUGGAGUCGCUAGUAAUCGCAGAUCAGCAACGCUGCGGUGAAUACGUUCCCGGGCCUUGUACACACCGUGUCGA
rnacentral:rRNA from 1 species